CCCAGGAUGUUUUGCAAGCAAGGCAGAUACACACCGAUAAACGUGCCCAUUCGUGGAACCUUGACUUCCUUUCGCUUGCUGUCUUCAUCUGCUUCGUGUUCCACCACACCUUGAGUUACAUUCGUGUAGUUUGCUAGUUUAUUAAGAAGAGAUGACACCAUCGGAUUGCUAUCCAUUUCCUCCUCAAAGAGAGCCAUAUUUUUACCUUCGUACAUGUUUCCUCUGUCCAUCUCUGCACUGUUAAUAAAUGGACUACUUUCCCUGGAAAUACCAUCUCCGGAGCCCCGGUCCCUGUUGUCCUCUUCCUCCUCCUGUCGCCAUGCAUCCCGCUCCGCCGAGUCCCGCUCCCCGCCCUGUGCCUCUACCGGCACUACGGUGAAGUUGGUCGGCAUUAGCGCGCUGCCGAGCCGCACACGGAUCCUACAGCACAGUAGCAACUCCUCC
rnacentral:lncRNA from 1 species